UACAGAGGGUGCAAGCGUUGUCCGGAAUUAUUGGGCGUAAAGAGCUCGUAGGCGGUUUGUCGCGUCUGCUGUGAAAACUCGGGGCUUAACUCCGGGCCUGCAGUGGGUACGGGCAGACUAGAGUGCGGUAGGGGAGACUGGAAUUCCUGGUGUAGCGGUGAAAUGCGCAGAUAUCAGGAGGAACACCGGUGGCGAAGGCGGGUCUCUGGGCAGUAACUGACGCUGAGGAGCGAAAACGUGGGGAGCGAACAGG
rnacentral:rRNA from 1 species